rnacentral:rRNA from 1 species
AAGUCGAACGAUGACUCUCUAGCUUGCUAGAGAUGAUUAGUGGCGGACGGGUGAGUAACAUUUAGGAAUCUGCCUAGUAGUGGGGGAUAGCUCGGGGAAACUCGAAUUAAUACCGCAUACGACCUACGGGUGAAAGGGGGCGCAAGCUCUUGCUAUUAGAUGAGCCUAAAUCAGAUUAGCUAGUUGGUGGGGUAAAGGCCCACCAAGGCGACGAUCUGUAACUGGUCUGAGAGGAUGAUCAGUCACACCGGAACUGAGACACGGUCCGGACUCCCUACGGGAGGCAGCAGUGGGGAAUAUUGGACAAUGGGGGCAACCCCUGAUCCCAGCCCAUGCUCGGCGUGAGUGAAGAAGGAUAUUUAUGGUUUGUAAAAGCUACUUUUAAGCUAGGGUAGGAGAGGGCUAAUUGGUAUAAUACUCUUAUUAGAUUUAGACG